AGUGGACAAUCAGUAAAUAUUUAUUGAAUAAAUGCAUGAAUUCCAGGUUAAGAAAGUUAAUGAUUAAUGGAAUGGAGAAGCACACUAAAUUUUCCAGGUUGACAAUGGCAAAUACAGAAUCAAUAGGAAUUUGACUAAAUCAGAAUAAAAGAAUGAAAAUGCAAAAAUGGAAAUAACACAGUAACAUAAAUUCAAAUAUACAUCAUUUGUCCUAAGGAGAAUAUAAAUUAAACAACAAUGAGGUAUAUCACAAUAUAUCUAUUAAGUGGAUAAAUUCCAAAAACAUUACAAGUUUAAACACUUAAUUUGAAAACUUAUAUUCACACACACACGCACACAAAAACCAAAAACCUUGCACCUGAAAGUUUAUAGCAAUUUUAUUUAUACUUGUCCGAAAGUGGAAUGAACCAAGAUGUCUUUCAAUAAGUGAGUGGAUAAACUGUGGUAUAUCCAUAUGGUGGAAUGCUAUUCAGGAUACAAAGAAAUUGGAUACCAUGCCAUGAGAAGACAUUAAUAAAUCUUAAUGCAUAUUGGUAAGUGAAAGAAGCCAACCCCAAAAGAUUCCAUCCUGCCUGAUUCCAAUUAUAUGACAUUCUAGAAAAGCAAAAUCAUAAGACAAUAAAUAGUUGAGUGGUUGCCAGGGGACAAAGAGUGGGGUUUGUGGUGGGAAGAUUGAAUACAUGAGGCACAGGGAAUUUUUUAGGGCAGUGAACUAUUCUGUGUGAUACUGUAAUAGUGGAGAUAUGAUACUAUGCAUUUGUCAAAACCUACAGAACAUCAUAGCUCAAAACUGAACCUUGAUGUAUGCAAUUCAAACAAAAAUCAUUUAGGGGCUGGCCCAGUGAUGUAGUGGUUAUUUGUGUGCUCCACUUCAGUGGUCCAGGGUUCGCAGGUUCAGAUCCCAGGUGCUGACCUACACACUGCUCAUCAAACCAUGCUGUGGCGGCAUCCCAUACACAAAAUAGAGGAAGAUUGGCACAGAUGUUAGUUCAGGGCCAAUCUUUCUCAACCCCGCCCCCCUCAAAAAAAUUCAUUUAGGAUAUCAGAAGACCCUGAAUGAAAUUCAGAAUGUGAUGAAGAAUCUGUUUUACAAAUGAGCAAAAUAGCUUUAUUGAAGGAGUUAGGGGGAAAAGGUGCUGACUUCAGUAACUUUGGAAAUGAGUUGAGUCUUUCAGACUAAAAGCAAAAACUAUUGUGCAAAUGCACUGUACUUUGACAAAAUCAUAAAUCAUAUCUCACAGGGAUAUAGGUUAACAAUUUUGGAAACACUGUACAUGUUUAUUUGAAUUGGAAAAUUGUAAUUAUAAUUAUAAUUGGAUAGUGGAUUGAGGAACAGUUUCUCACUGUUGGAGUGGAAUAAACAAGUAGAAACAGAUAAACAAGUGGAAGAGAAUACAGCAAUCCCUGUGGCAGUGGAUCAGAGAUGGACAUGAGUAUGAACUCUUGCUUAACUUAUUACAGAUGUAGAUGGUAAUACAGGUAUAUUUAGAUUCACAUGCUGAUGGAAGGACAGAGAGAGCCCACUCUGCAGGAAGGGAGAAAUCUUAACUAUAUCAAAUUUUCUACCUUUUAAAUCCAUUGCUGACAGAUCAAAACACAGGUUUUGAGUGUGCUGUAUACCAGCGAAGAAUGAGAUGAUGAGAGACUUGUAGGGGCAAGUGUUAAAGGUAGGAAAUCCCAGACAGAUUUUGAAUAUAAAGGAACCUCAGGCAACAGAAAAGUGCAGGUCCAGAAAACGAAUGCUUUAUGCAUCUCAACAGAGAACCUUCACAGGCUGGGUCAUCUUAACAAUACUCAGCAUGUGCUCUGCUUCAGUGGACCACAGAACACUCCACAGUCAACCUAGAUCCACUGUUUUCCCACCCAGUUAGGUCAGACAUAUGGCAACCAGGAGCCAUGAUGCUUGAUCCUUUCCUAGCUUCUCUGAAUAGGAAAAUUGUCAAAACCCCAAAGACCAAAGGAAAGAGACUAGAAUCAGGAAAAACCAAACACAACUUUAUCACUAGCAUGACUGUGACAUUGCACAAUUCUGUGCUUCCCUUUGUACCAGAUUCUUCUUGAGCACAAUGGGAAUAUUAUUACCUAAGUGAAGGUUGUUCUACAUCUAAAUUAUUUGCCAAUAAAAACUGGACAAAUUUUAUGAGCAGCUGUUUAAAAGAAAUGGAACUCCAAACGGCCAAUAAAUAAUUUGAAAAAGUGUUCAACCUCUCUUGUAAUCAAGUAAAUAAAAAUUAGAAGCACAACUAGAAACCUUUUAGGACUCAUAAUAUUGAUGUUUUUAUAGUUUGACAAUAUUAAGAGUUAGGUAGGAAGAAGGAACACAGGAAUUCCUAUAUACUGCCAGUAGGGGUAUAAAUUUUUACAAUAGCUUCAGAGAACAAUGUGGCAAUUCUAUUACAGUUUGGGGAUGUGCCUGACCCGUGGCCGAUCAAUGCUAGUCCUUGAUAUAUAUCUAAGAGAAACCCUCACGUGUCCAUAGGAGUUGUGCACAAGCAUUGGCUGAUGGAACAAAAAUUGGAAACAAUUUGAAUCUGUGCUGUCCAGUAUAGUAGCUACUGACCACAUGUGGCUAUUUAAAUUUAAAUUUUUGUUUUCUUUUUGAGGAAGAUUAGCCCUGAGCUAACAUCUGCUGCCAAUCCUCCCCUUUUGGCUGAGAAAGACUGGCCCUGAGCUCACAUCUGUGCCCAUCUUCCUCUGCUUUAUAUGUGGGACUCUUACCACAGCAUGGGUUGACAAGUGGUGCCAUGUUCGCACCCGGGAUCUGCACUGGCGAACCCAGGGCCACCCAAGCAGAACGUGCACACUUAACCGUGUGCCGCUAGGCUGGCCCCUUAGAUUUAAAUUUUAAUUAAUUAAAUUAAAAUGGAAUAAAACCAUUUUAUUGCACCAGCUACAUUUAAUGUGCUCAGUAGCCAUAUACACAUUUAUAUCAUUGCAGAAAAUACUAUUGGACAUUGCUGUUGUAAAUCACCAUGCAUAAUUAAAUAGAUAAAUCAGUUCUCAAUUCUGAUAUAUUUAUAUAGUGAAAUUGAAAAAUCAGAGUUAUAUAUAUCAAUAAGUGUAAAUCUCACAAAUAUAAUGUUGAAUAAAUAAGGCAAGUUUAAUUAAGAUAGGUGCAGAUAUAUAUGUACAUACACGUAUAUAUGUGUGUACAUAAUGUCAUUUAUAUAAAAUUUCUUUUAAAAAAGUUAAAUUGGUAUAUAUUGUUUAGAGGAAAUGUAAAAAAUAGGUAAAUAAAGGAAUACAUGGAAAUGGAAUAUUUAAAUUUCGGGAUAUUGGUUAUAGUCUAAGGAAGAGGGAAUGCAAUAGGAGGUGGAACACAAGGAAAUUCUAGUAUAUUUGUAAAACUUUUAUAUUUUAUCUUGGGUGAUAUGGAUAUAGAAUCUCAUAGUUUUCUCUAUUUUUUAUAUCUAAAAUGUUUCCUUAACAUGGAAUUAAAUAGAAUGACAUAUGUGAAAGUGUUUUCAUAAUGUCAUAUUAAACUGCAGGUUUUAUAAAUCAUCACAUAGAUAAUUUUGUAGAGAUACCGCAUUUGGUUAAAUAAGUCAAUACUGUCCCUUAUUUUUGCAUUUUGAGUUAGGUAUUAUUGCCCUUACUUCAGAAAAACUCAGGCUUAAAACGGGAGCUUCCUUCAGUUCACAUAGUUAACAAAUAGCAGAAUCUUGACUCCAACUCUUUUUUGGGUCAAUAAAGUCAUACUCUUUCCAUAAGAUCCCGAUAAUCUCUUGUUAGUGAAGUUUGAUGAAGAUAGCACUGCAAACAUACCGAGGGACAGCAUUAUGCUCUAGUAACUGUUAUUAUAAAACUUCAUAUCAUGGCAUACUUCACAGAUUUGAAAAUAUUUAUUUGAUAUCCCCAAAAAUCUUGUAUCAACAGUUUCUUCAUUGUAUAUAUGGGAAUCUUGAAAAUUAAAAUGAUUAUGUAGCUGACACCAAAUUUUUAAAAAAGAGAAAAAGUAGCAAAAUUUGGAUUCCAAUUCAAUUAUGCUUCAUCCAUUUAUUAAAUUAAAUAUUAUUCAGUAGAUAAUAUAUUCCUACAUGUAUUUUAGGCCAUUAGUUUACAAUGUAGGAGAGGAGAAAGAUGAUAAGUAAUUACACAAGUAUUUUUUAAAAUUACAAUUAUAGUAAUCUGUAUAAAGGUAUAAAUUAGUUGUAUGUUCAGAGGUACAUAAAAUUCAGGGGUCCAUAACUAAAAUUCUAACCUAAAUUUUGGAUCAGAGGUGGCAAUUCUGAAGAUGUGGUAUGUAAAUUAAAAGGCAAGAAGGAGCUGGUAGAAGGCACAGCGAGAAAGGAGGUAAGAGUAUUUCCAAGCUUAACACUAAGCAGUGAAUUAUUACAUGUCUUUAAAUAAUUUUAUUAUACAUGUAUGUAACCCUGAAUGGCAGUGUUUCCUUACUAAAUAUGACAUUAGUCUGUAUAUGUCUUUAUUUAAUUUGCCUUUGGAGGCAAUUUGAGUGGUCAAACAGAGAUAAAAAUGGAUUAGAAGAGGAUGGUGGCAGCAGGAAGAGAAAAAAAUUACAAAUAUUGAAAUAAUUAAGAGGCAAGACUGUUGCACGUGGUGACUGAUAGGAUGUGGGAAAGGUUUUUCCCAAGUUUUUAAUGUGGGCAAAGAUAGCGCCAUUUUCUGAAAUGUGGAACUCUAGUUGAAGUAAAGCUUUCUGGGAGAUCAUAAGCUCAAUUUUGGAUAUGGUGGAAAGUGACUCCUGAAUCAAUUUUUUUCCUCCUGCACACCAUUCUGUCACUCAUUAUAUAUAAAUUACACUCAAACACUCUCUCUCUACAUAAAUGGCAUAUAUUCGUAUCAGAAAUGUGUCACACGUGGAGCAAUUCUUCCCCAAGUAUAAUCUAAGGAAUUUGGGGAAAUAUACUAUUUCUUGUUCUUAUGCCGAAGAGACACAGGAGCC
rnacentral:lncRNA from 1 species